UUCCUCCCAAUCUUCAUACGUGAUGAGAACAAUUCUCAUCUCCUCCACUCCAGCCUGGGCCUCCCUGCACCAGCCUCUCUCGGGAGGUCUCUCUGUCCUGGUCCGCACCUCCUCUGCUUCUGUGGGGCCUCUCCGUAUUUCUGCUUUUCACCCCUCCUCUCUCCCGCCCCACCGACCGAGGCCGAGUUUGUUUGUUUGAGACAGAGUCUCGGUCUGUCACCCAGGCUGGAGUGCAAUAUGUGCAAUCCUGGCUCACUGCAACUUCCACCUUCUGGGCUCAAGCGAUUCUCCUGCCUCAGCCUCCCAAGUAGCUCUAAUUACAGAUCCCUGCAAUACAAAGAGUCACCUGAUCACGGAUUCUCUGCCUGGACCUUGGAUAGACCAUUGGACCACAUCUUGUGAUGGAGUGCGGUUCAAGAAAUGACAUUCCCGAAAGGAGAGAAGCUAAGCAUGCCAUACCUAAGACCUACUACCCUGAGAAGCAGUGAAGUGCUCCUGGGGCCCACCAAGGCCACACAAGUCAAGGAGUGGAUGGCCUUGCUCCAGCUACUGCUCAGAUCACCUUUGCAAGAUGACAUUGUGUUGGGAGAUGGUCAUCAGAGCCAGGGCCAUGGAAGAUGCUGUCAGGAGGCACGAGGAAAGGCUAUGGGAGCACAAAGCAAGAAAGUGGCCUUCUGCAAGCCAGGAAGAGAGGCCUCCCCAGAAACCAACUCUGUGAGCUCAUCGAUCUUUGACUUUUGGCCUCCAGAACAUUGAGAAAAUAAAAGUCUGUUGUUAAACCACCCAA